rnacentral:rRNA from 1 species
UGAGUGGCGGACGGGUGAGUAUCGCGUAGGGAUCUAUCCACGGGUGGGGGAUAACAUCGGGAAACUGGUGCUAAUACCGCAUGAUACCUGAGGGUCAAAGGCGCAAGUCGCCUGUGGAGGAGCCUGCGUUCGAUUAGCUUGUUGGUGGGGUAAAGGCCUACCAAGGCGAUGAUCGAUAGCUGGUCUGAGAGGAUGAUCAGCCACACUGGGACUGAGACACGGCCCAGACUCCUACGGGAGGCAGCAGUGGGGAAUAUUGGACAAUGGGCGAAAGCCUGAUCCAGCAAUGCCGCGUGUGUGAAGAAGGUCUUCGGAUUGUAAAGCACUUUCGACGGGGACGAUGAUGACGGUACCCGUAGAAGAAGCCCCGGCUAACUUCGUGCCAGCAGCCGCGGUAAUACGAAGGGGGCUAGCGUUGCUCGGAAUGACUGGGCGUAAAGGGCGCGUAGGCGGUUUACACAGUCAGAUGUGAAAUUCCAGGGCUUAACCUUGGGGCUGCAUUUGAUACGUGUAGACUAGAGUGUGAGAGA